UACGAAGGGGGCUAGCGUUGCUUCGGAAUUGACUGGGCGUAAAGGGCGCGUAGGCGGAUGGCACAGUCAGAUGUGAAAUUCCCGGGCUUAACCUGGGGGCUGCAUUUGAUACGUGUUGUCUUGAGUUCGGAAGAGGGUCGUGGAAUUCCCAGUGUAGAGGUGAAAUUCGUAGAUAUUGGGAAGAACACCGGUGGCGAAGGCGGCGACCUGGUCCGACACUGACGCUGAGGCGCGAAAGCGUGGGGAGCAAACAGG
rnacentral:rRNA from 1 species